rnacentral:rRNA from 1 species
UACGAAGGGGGCUAGCGUUGUUCGGAAUCACUGGGCGUAAAGCGCACGUAGGCGGAUCUUUUAAGUCAGAGGUGAAAUCCCAAGGCUCAACCUUGGAACUGCCUUUGAUACUGGGGAUCUUGAGUCCGGAGAGGUGAGUGGAACUGCGAGUGUAGAGGUGAAAUUCGUAGAUAUUCGCAAGAACACCAGUGGCGAAGGCGGCUCACUGGCCCGGUACUGACGCUGAGGCACGAAAGCGUGGGGGAGCAAACAGG